rnacentral:rRNA from 1 species
AUACGUAGGUGGCGAGCGUUGUCCGGAUUUACUGGGCGUAAAGGAUGCGUAAGUGGAAACUUAAGUGGGAUGUGAAAUCCCCCGGGCUCAACCCGGGAACUGCAUUCCAAACUGGGUUACUUGAGUGCAGGAGAGGAAAGCGGAAUUCCUAGUGUAGCGGUGAAAUGCGUAGAUAUUAGGAAGAACACCAGUGGCGAAGGCGGCUUUCUGGACUGUAACUGACACUGAGGCAUGAAAGCGUGGGGAGC